rnacentral:rRNA from 1 species
CAGUCGCCACGGUAAUACGUAGGGUGCAAGCGUUAAUCGGAAUUACUGGGCGUAAAGCGUGCGCAGGCGGUUAUAUAAGACAGAUGUGAAAUCCCCGGGCUCAACCUGGGAACUGCAUUUGUAACUGUAUAGCUAGAGUACGGCAGAGGGGGAUGGAAUUCCGCGUGUAGCAGUGAAAUGCGUAGAUAUGCGGAGGAACACCGAUGGCGAAGGCAAUCCCCUGGGCCUGUACUGACGCUCAUGCACGAAAGCGUGGGGAGCAAACAGGAUUAGAUACCCCGGUAGUCCCUGUCUCUUAUAC